rnacentral:rRNA from 1 species
GACGAACGCUGGCGGCGUGCCUAAUACAUGCAAGUAGAACGCUGAAGCUUGGUGCUUGCACCGAGCGGAUGAGUUGCGAACGGGUGAGUAACGCGUAGGUAUCCUGCCUGGUAGCGGGGGAUAACUAUUGGAAACGAUAGCUAAUACCGCAUAAGAGUAGAUGUUGCAUGACAUUUGCUUAAAAGGUGCAAUUGCAUCACUACCAGAUGGACCCGCGUUGUAUUAGCUAGUUGGUGAGGUAACGGCUCACCAAGGCAACGAUACAUAGCCGACCUGAGAGGGUGAUCGGCCACACUGGGACUGAGACACGGCCCAGACUCCUACGGGAGGCAGCAGUAGGGAAUCUUCGGCAAUGGACGGAAGUCUGACCGAGCAACGCCGCGUGAGUGAAGAAGGUUUUCGGAUCGUAAAGCUCUGUUGUAAGAGAAGAACGAGUGUGAGAGUGGAAAGUUCACACUGUGACGGUAUCUUACCAGAAAGGGACGGCUAACUACGUG